rnacentral:tRNA from 2 species
GCCACUGUGGUGAAAUUGGUAUACACGCAGCACUCAAAAUGCUGUGGGGGCAACUCCAUGUCGGUUCGAGUCCGACCAGUGGCACAA